UACAGAGGGGGCAAGCGUUGUUCGGAAUUACUGGACGUAAAGGGCGCGUAGGCGGCCUGUUAAGUCCCGUGUGAAAUCCCUCGGCUCAACCGAGGAACUGCACGGGAAACUGGCGGGCUUGAGUUCGGGAGAGGGAAGCGGAAUUCCGGGUGUAGCGGUGAAAUGCGUAGAUAUCCGGAGGAACACCGGUGGCGAAGGCGGCUUCCUGGACCGACACUGACGCUGAGGAGCGAAAGCUAGGGGAGCAAACGGG
rnacentral:rRNA from 1 species